rnacentral:rRNA from 1 species
AUGAAGGUCUGGUGACUGAGCGGCGGACGGGUGAGUAACGCGUGGGCAACCUGCCUCAUACAGGGGGAUAACAGUUAGAAAUGACUGCUAAUACCGCAUAAGCGCACAGGACCGCAUGGUGUAGUGUGAAAAACUCCGGUGGUAUGAGAUGGACCCGCGUCUGAUUAGGUAGUUGGUGGGGUAAAGGCCUACCAAGCCGACGAUCAGUAGCCGACCUGAGAGGAUGAACGGCCACAUUGGAGCUGAGACACGGCCCAGACUCC